rnacentral:rRNA from 1 species
GAUGAACGCUGGCGGCGUGCCUAAUACAUGCAAGUCGAGCGAACGGACGAGAAGCUUGCUUCUCUGAUGUUAGCGGCGGACGGGUGAGUAACACGUGGAUAACCUACCUAUAAGACUGGGAUAACUUCGGGAAACCGGAGCUAAUACCGGAUAAUAUUUUGAACCGCAUGGUUCAAAAGUGAAAGACGGUCUUGCUGUCACUUAUAGAUGGAUCCGCGCUGCAUUAGCUAGUUGGUAAGGUAACGGCUUGCCAAGGCAACGAUGCAUAGCCGACCUGAGAGGGUGAUCGGCCACACUGGAACUGAGACACGGUCCAGACUCCUACGGGAGGCAGCAGUAGGGAAUCUUCCGCAAUGGGCGAAAGCCUGACGGAGCAACGCCGCGUGAGUGAUGAAGGUCUUCGGAUCGUAAAACUCUGUUAUUAGUGAAGAACAUAUGUGUAAGUAACUGUGCACAUCUUGACGGUACCUAAUCAGAAAGCCACGGCUAACUACGUG